GCCGAAGGCCGCUGCCGUACCGCUCGCCGUUGUUCCUCUUCUGCUUCACGUGAGACUACAGGUGCACGGGCGGGAGGAUUUCCCAAGCCCUGCCCCAUCCUCUCAUCUCUCGAUCUGAUGAACACCAAGAGGCUGUGAUUCAAGAUCGAACUAAAAGUGGUGAUGGAGGGUCUGCUCAAUCUACUACUUGCAAGGUGGAUCUGCAAGCCCCUGGGUGGACUUAGAGAGUAAGAGUCGGGAAUCAGCCAACGGAUAGAGCCCCAUGCCCAGAAAGAUUAGAUGCGCUGGAGGAGACAAUUCGAGGGCAUGCAGAUAAAUUGGGGGACCAUGUAGUUGAGCCUGCUAUUGGCUUAACAUUCGACUCCUUGGGUGAAGCAUAUGAUUUUUGCAACCUUUAUUCGUGGGAGCAUGGUUUUGGUAUCAGGACAGCCUGUCCCAGCGGGCUCGGCACACUCUCCGCUCUGCUGAAAUUACAGGACACCCUGUCCCAGCAGGCUCGACACUCUCCGCUCCGCUAAAAUUACAGGACCAGGCACUAUGUCUGGGAAGAAUUGGUGCACUGGAGCAAAUGAUUUAGGGGUAUACAGAUUAGUUGGGUGAGCACGGUGCUAUUGGGCUAACACUAGACUCUAUGUAAGAAACCUAUGGUUUUUACAAUCUUUAUUCAUGGAAGCAUGGUUUUGCCAUUAGAUAUUAUGGGAAAAGUAGGCUUAAUGUCAGGAAGACAAAAUGUAUGAAGGAAGUUUUCUGUGGAUGGUUGGGAGAGGAGAGUGGCGCAGCAGUGGUGGGCUGGUGGCAGGAGGAAGAAGAUUGCUCCAUCCAUCAGUUGGCCGAGCUCCGGCGUCCUCACGUCAGGCUUGUCUUGGAGUGCUGACAAUGAAGCAUUCAACAUGGUAUGCAUCCAGAUCCGCUUCAUCUGCUAGACGCUAAAUCGAGUCAAUGGACCAAUUGGCUAGAAUUAGAAAUUAACUGCGUGUAUUUUGUGUUUGCGCCUCCGUGUAUUUUGCUGAACGCUUAGUGUGUACAUCGUUGGGAGGAACUAUCUCUAAAUUAGUUGUUAUUAUUGCA